rnacentral:lncRNA from 1 species
UCACGUUUAAGGGCUCAGCUCCACAAGACUACCCCCUUCACAUGCCAGCAGCAAAUAUGGGGCCCAAGUUACCCACAUUUCUGCCCAGCUGACUACAAAUUCUGGUUUCCAUGACCCCCUCUCAGGUUUGAUAGUUUGCUAGAACAACUCACAAAGUGAAGGAAAAUGGUGUACUUACUAUUACUGGCUUAUUAUAAAGGCUACAACUCAGAAACAGCCAAACGGAGGAGAUGCACAGAGCAAGGUGACCAGUCCGCAUCCUGAUACUAUCUCGGAGUCCCCCAGCCAAGAAUCAUCUCAUCAGCAUAAACUCAGGCAAUGUUGAAAGGCAUUCAGAAUGGUACUGGCCAUGUAACAUCCUCAGGAAAAUGGAGAAAGGAGUCACAUCAUCUUCUGUGUUUGGAGACUGCUAUGUAAGCCAGAAUACUAGUCACACAGUGCAGGUGUCAGCAUGUAAAAGGGAAGAUCCAAAUGACCAAUCAGGAGAUUACUGGGGGACCACAAAGUUGGGGCUCAGGUCAGCUGACCAGGUGAGACCCUGUCUCCACCAUGGGCAACAGCUCCCCUUUCCUCAGGCCCCCUGACCUUUCAGACACAACAGAUGCUGCAGUCUUCACAGGGACCUGGGGAGCCCCAGCAACUCAAUCACAUUGCUCGGUGACCCCAAAAGGCUGAUCACAUUAGCAACAGGCUUAUUUUUCGUCAUUUCAUUAUCAAAGGGCAAGUUUUGACUUUACAUUUUAAUUCCUCC